ACACAUGCAAGUCGAGGGGCAGCAUGGUCUUAGCUUGCUAAGGCCGAUGGCGACCGGCGCACGGGUGAGUAACACGUAUCCAACCUGCCGUCUACUCUUGGACAGCCUUCUGAAAGGAAGAUUAAUACAAGAUGGCAUCAUGAGUCCGCAUGUUCACAUGAUUAAAGGUAUUCCGGUAGACGAUGGGGAUGCGUUCCAUUAGAUAGUAGGCGGGGUAACGGCCCACCUAGUCUUCGAUGGAUAGGGGUUCUGAGAGGAAGGUCCCCCACAUUGGAACUGAGACACGGUCCAAACUCCUACGGGAGGCAGCAGUGAGGAAUAUUGGUCAAUGGGCGAGAGCCUGAACCAGCCAAGUAGCGUGAAGGAUGACUGCCCUAUGGGUUGUAAACUUCUUUUAUAAAGGAAUAAAGUCGGGUAUGGAUACCCGUUUGCAUGUACUUUAUGAAUAAGGAUCGGCUAACUCCGUGCCAGCAGCCGCGGUAAUACGGAGGAUCCGAGCGUUAUCCGGAUUUAUUGGGUUUAAAGGGAGCGUAGAUGGAUGUUUAAGUCAGUUGUGAAAGUUUGCGGCUCAACCGUAAAAUUGCAGUUGAUACUGGAUAUCUUGAGUGCAGUUGAGGCAGGCGGAAUUCGUGGUGUAGCGGUGAAAUGCUUAGAUAUCACGAAGACUCCGAUUGCGAAGGCAGCCUGCUAAGCUGCAACUGACAUUGAG
rnacentral:rRNA from 1 species